rnacentral:rRNA from 1 species
UACGAAGGGGGCUAGCGUUGUUCGGAUUUACUGGGCGUAAAGCGCACGUAGGCGGAUCGUUAAGUCGGGGGUGAAAUCCUGGAGCUCAACUCCAGAACUGCCUUCGAUACUGGCGAUCUUGAGUCCGGAAGAGGUGAGUGGAACUCCUAGUGUAGAGGUGGAAUUCGUAGAUAUUAGGAGGAACACCAAUAGCGAAGGCAGCUCGCUGGGACGGUACUGACGCUAAGGCGCGAAAGCGUGGGGAGCGAACAGG